UCCAUUUCUCCCAGUUUCAUCCGUGAUUUCUCACAACCGAAGGCUUCCUUACAGAGCCUUUAUAUUUUUUCGAGAUGAUCUCAGAAUCCUUGAUUGAUGUUGUGAAGCGAUGCAACAAACGAAUAACCAAUCAUGAACCAUGCACGAAUUCUUUGUUUUAAAUUUGGAUGAUUGUUUCAUCUGACGAUAAGCAUCAUUGUAGUCAUGAUUUGAAACAAUGCAGGAGCACUUACCUAUUUUCCAUAGAAAAAAAUUCUUAGCAAUAUUUGGAGUCAUUUGUCUGUUACUGACACUUUUCUACUAUGACAACUCACUUUUGGGGUCUACGGAGCAAAUAACUUUCUUUAAAGGUGUCAACAAUGCAUCAAAUUUCAAUAACAUUUCCACCACAACGAGCACCACUUUACAUUUCAAAUUUACAGAUGUCACUACCGCACCAACAUUGGAGAACAAAUCACAACAAGGUAAUUUUAAUUUAAUAUUCU